rnacentral:rRNA from 1 species
AAGGCUUGACAUCCCUCUGACCGGUGUAGAGAUACACCUUCUCUUCGGAGCAGAGGUGACAGGUGGUGCAUGGUUGUCGUCAGCUCGUGUCGUGAGAUGUUGGGUUAAGUCCCGCAACGAGCGCAACCCCUAUUCUUAGUAGCCAUCAUUCAGUUGGGCACUCUAGGGAGACUGCCGUGGAUAACACGGAGGAAGGUGGGGAUGACGUCAAAUCAUCAUGCCCCUUAUGUCUUGGGCUACACACGUGCUACAAUGGCUGGUAACAAAGUGAAGCAAAACGGCGACGUCAAGCAAAUCACAAAAACCCAGUCCCAGUUCGGAUUGUAGUCUGCAACUCGACUACAUGAAGCUGGAAUCGCUAGUAAUCGCGAAUCAGAAUGUCGCGGUGAAUACGUUCCCGGGCCUUGUACACACCGCCCGUCACACCAUGGGAGUUGGAAGCACCCGAAGUCGGUGACCUGACCGUAAGGAAGGAGCCGCCGAAGGUGAUAUCAGCGACU